AUUGAACUCUGGCGGCAUGCCUUACACAUGCAAGUCGAACGGUAACGGGCCUUCGGGUGCCGACGAGUGGCGAACGGGUGAGUAAUAUAUCGGAACGUGCCCAGUAGUGGGGGAUAGCCCGGCGAAAGCCGGAUUAAUACCGCAUGAGACCUGAGGGUGAAAGCGGGGGAUCGGAAGACCUCGCGCGAUUGGAGCGGCCGAUACCAGAUUAGGUAGUUGGUGGGGUAAAGGCCCACCAAGCCGACGAUCUGUAGCUGGUCUGAGAGGACGACCAGCCACACUGGGACUGAGACACGGCCCAGACUACUACGGGAGGCAGCAGUGGGGAAUUUUGGACAAUGGGCGAAAGCCUGAUCCAGCCAUGCCGCGUGCAGGAUGAAGGCCUUCGGGUUGUAAACUGCUUUUGUACGGAACGAAAAGGACUGCCCUAACACGGUGGUCCCAUGACGGUACCGUAAGAAUAAGCACCGGCUAACUACGUGCCAGCCGCCGCAGUAACAC
rnacentral:rRNA from 1 species